AACGAACGCUGGCGGCAGGCUUAACACAUGCAAGUCGAACGCCCCGCAAGGGGAGUGGCAGACGGGUGAGUAACGCGUGGGAAUCUACCCAGUUCUACGGAACAACUGAGGGAAACUUCAGCUAAUACCGUAUACGCCCUACGGGGGAAAGAUUUAUCGGAAUUGGAUGAGCCCGCGUUGGAUUAGCUAGUUGGUGGGGUAAAGGCCUACCAAGGCGACGAUCCAUAGCUGGUCUGAGAGGGUGAUCAGCCACACUGGGACUGAGACACGGCCCAGACUCCUCCGGGAGGCAGCAGUGGGGAAUAUUGGACAAUGGGCGCAAGCCUGAUCCAGCCAUGCCGCGUGAGUGAUGAAGGCCUUAGGGUUGUAAAGCUCUUUCAGUGGGGACGAUAAUGACGGUACCCACAGAAGAAGCCCCGGCUAACUUCGUGCCAGCAGCCGCGGUAACAC
rnacentral:rRNA from 1 species